UUUUUGCUCUUUGUGUUCACAGUGGACCUUGAUUUAAUUUCAAUACAAUUAAGGCACGCGGUGAAUGCCAAGAGAGAAGCC
rnacentral:pre_miRNA from 8 species